rnacentral:rRNA from 1 species
ACGUGAAACCCGGUCCGAAGCAGGGGGGACCACCCUCCAAGGCUGAACACUCUCCGAUGACCGAUAGCGAACCAGUACCGCGAGGGAAAGGUGAAAAGCACCCCGAGAGGGGAGUGAAACAGCGCCUGAAACCGUGCGCCCCCAAGCAGCGGGAGCCGUUCCGACGACGGUGACCGCGUGCCUUUUGUAGAAUGAGCCUGCGAGUCGCGGCAUGCGGCGAGGUUAAGGGACACCGAGCCGCAGCGAAAGCGAGCCUGAACAGGGCGAUUUGAGUCGCAUGCCGCGGACGCGAAGCCGGGUGAGCUAUCCAUGGGCAGGGUGAAGCGGGGGUAAGACCCCGUGGAGGCCCGAACCCACUUCGGUUGAAAACGGAGGGGAUGACCCGCGGAUAGGGGUGAAAGGCCUAUCAAACCCGGAGAUAUCUCGUUCUCCCCGAAACAGCUUUAGGGCUGGCCCCGGGCAUUGACCAUCGGAGGUAGAGCACUGGACCGGCGAGGGGGCCUCACCGCCUACCGACCCAGACCAAACUCCGAAUGCCGAUGGUUUGGACCCCGGGAGUCAGAGCGCGUGGGCUAAGCUGCGCGCUCGAGAGGGAAACAGCCCAGACCGCCCGCCAAGGCCCCAAAGGCCGUGCUAAGUGGCAAAGGAUGUGCGCCCGCCCAGACAACCAGGAUGUUGGCUUAGAAGCAGCCAUGCAUUCAAAGAGUGCGUAACAGCUCACUGGUCGAGUGGACAUGCGCCGACAAUUCACGGGGCUAAGCACGGCGCCGAAGCGGCGGAAUCAUGAAUUUGAUUGGUAGGGGAGCUUUCCAUGCCGGGCGAAGCCGGAGGCGCGAGCCCCGGUGGACGGCAUGGAAGUGAGGAUGCAGGCAUGAGUAGCGAGAGAGCGGCGAGAAACCGCUCCGCCGAAAACCCAAGGUUUCCUGGGCGAGGCUAAUCCCCCCAGGGUCAGCCGGGAGCUAAGGCGAGGCCGCGAGGCGCAGCCGAUGCACGACGGGCAGACAUUCCCGUGCCGGCGCGGGCGCGCUACGACCGAUGGGACGACGGGGAAGGAUACGCGAGCGGGGUUCUGGACGUCCCCGUGAAAGCGCGUAGGGAGGGGCCCAGGGAAAUCCGGUCCCCACACAUCCCGAGACGCGAGACGAGCCGCACGGCGAAGUCGCGGAUUCCAUGCCUCCUAGAAAAAUCCCUAGGCAGCGCCCACGCCGCCCGUACCAAAACCGACACAGGUGGGUAGGAAGAGCAUUCCGAGGCGAUCGGGGCAACCAUGGUCAAGGAACUCGGCAUAAUCGUCCCGUAACUUAGGGAGAAGGGACGCCCCCCAGCGUGAACCGGCUCGCCCGGGGAGCGCCGGGGGGCCGCAGCGAAAGGGCCCAAGCGACUGUUUACCAAAAACACAGGACUCUGCCAAGCCGCGAGGCGAAGUAUAGGGUCUGACGCCUGCCCGGUGCCGGAAGGUCACGGGGAUCCGUUAGCCUUUGGCGAAGCGGUGAACCCAAGCCCCGGUAAACGGCGGCCGUAACUAUAACGGUCCUAAGGUAGCGAAAUUCCUUGUCGGGUAAGUUCCGACCUGCACGAACGGCGCAACGACUUGGGCGCUGUCUCGACCAUGGGCCCGGCGAAAUUGCAUUAUCCGUGAAGAUGCGGAUUCCCCGCGGAAGGACGGAAAGACCCCGUGAACCUUUACUGCAGCUUGGCAUUGGCCGCAGGCGCGGCGCGUAGAGGAUAGGCAGGAGGCUGCGAAGCCCGGGCGCCAGCCCGGGCGGAGCCGACCUUGGAAUACUGCCCCCGUCGCGUCGGCGGCCUAACCCGGGGACGGCCCGGGGACCGUGCCAGGCGGGCAGUUUGACUGGGGCGGUCGCCUCCCAAAGAGUAACGGAGGCGCGCGCAAGGUCCGCUCAGGACGGUCGGCAACCGUCCGAAGAGCGCAAGAGCACAAGCGGGCCUGACUGCGAGGCAGACAAGCCGAGCAGGGACGAAAGUCGGCUCUAGUGAUCCGGCGGCCCCGAGUGGAAGGGCCGUCGCUCAACGGAUAAAAGGUACUCCGGGGAUAACAGGCUGAUCUUGCCC